rnacentral:rRNA from 1 species
AUUGAACGCUGGCGGCAUGCCUUACACAUGCAAGUCGAACGGCAGCACGGGUGCUUGCACCUGGUGGCGAGUGGCGAACGGGUGAGUAAUACAUCGGAACAUGUCCUGUAGUGGGGGAUAGCCCGGCGAAAGCCGGAUUAAUACCGCAUACGAACUACGGAUGAAAGCGGGGGACCUUCGGGCCUCGCGCUAUAGGGUUGGCCGAUGGCUGAUUAGCUAGUUGGUGGGGUAAAGGCCUACCAAGGCGACGAUCAGUAGCUGGUCUGAGAGGACGACCAGCCACACUGGGACUGAGACACGGCCCAGACUCCUACGGGAGGCAGCAGUGGGGAAUUUUGGACAAUGGGCGAAAGCCUGAUCCAGCAAUGCCGCGUGUGUGAAGAAGGCCUUCGGGUUGUAAAGCACUUUUGUCCGGAAAGAAAUCCUUGAUUCUAAUACAGUCGGGGGAUGACGGUACCGGAAGAAUAAGCGCCGGCUAACUACGUGCCAGCCGCCGCAGUAA